rnacentral:rRNA from 1 species
GGAUAACGUAGCGAAAGUUACGCUAAUACCGCAUAUUCUGUGCGCAGGAAAGCAGGGGAUCGCAAGACCUUGCGCUGAUUGAGCGGCCGAUAUCAGAUUAGCUUGUUGGUGAGGUAAAAGCUCACCAAGGCGACGAUCUGUAGCGGGUCUGAGAGGAUGAUCCGCCACACUGGAACUGAGACACGGUCCAGACUCCUACGGGAGGCAGCAGUGGGGAAUUUUGGACAAUGGGGGCAACCCUGAUCCAGCCAUGCCGCGUGAGUGAAGAAGGCCUUCGGGUUGUAAAGCUCUUUCAGCCGGGAAGAAAAUGCAUGGGUUAAUACCCUGUGCAGAUGACGGUACCGGAAUAAGAAGCACCGGCUAACUACGUGCCAGCAGCCGCGGUAAUACGUAGGGUGCGAGCGUUAAUCGGAAUUACUGGGCGUAAAGCGUGCGCAGGCGGUUUUGUAAGACAGGCGUGAAAUCCCCGGGCUUAACCUGGGAACUGCGUUUGUGACUGCAAGGCUAGAGUACGGCAGAGGGGGGUGGAAUUCCACGUGUAGCAGUGAAAUGCGUAGAGAUGUGGAGGAACACCAAUGGCGAAGGCAGCCCCCUGGGUCGAUACUGACGCUCAUGCACGAAAGCGUGGGUAGCAAACAGGAUUAGAUACCCUGGUAGUCCACGCCCUAAACGAUGUCAACUAGGUGUUGGGAGGGUAAAACCUUUUAGUACCGUAGCUAACGCGAGAAGUUGACCGCCUGGGGAGUACGGCCGCAAGGUUAAAACUCAAAGGAAUUGACGGGGACCCGCACAAGCGGUGGAUGAUGUGGAUUAAUUCGAUGCAACGCGAAAAACCUUACCUACCCUUGACAUGUCAGGAACUUGCCAGAGAUGGCUUGGUGCCCGAAAGGGAACCUGAACACAGGUGCUGCAUGGCUGUCGUCAGCUCGUGUCGUGAGAUGUUGGGUUAAGUCCCGCAACGAGCGCAACCCUUGUCGUUAAUUGCCAUCAUUUGGUUGGGCACUUUAACGAGACUGCCGGUGACAAACCGGAGGAAGGUGGGGAUGACGUCAAGUCCUCAUGGCCCUUAUGGGUAGGGCUUCACACGUCAUACAAUGGUCGGUACAAAGGGUCGCCAACCCGCGAGGGGGAGCCAAUCCCAUAAAGCCGAUCGUAGUCCGGAUCGUAGGCUGCAACUCGCCUGCGUGAAGUCGGAAUCGCUAGUAAUCGUGGAUCAGCAUGUCACGGUGAAUACGUUCCCGGGUCUUGUACACACCGCCCGUCACACCAUGGGAGCGGGUUCCGCCAGAAGUAGGUAGCCUAACCGCAAGGGGGGCGCUUACCACGGCGGGGUUCGUGACUG